GGGGCCGUAGGGUAGCCUGGACCAUCCUUCAUGCUUGGGGUGUAUGAGACCUGAGUUCAAAUCUCAGCGGCCCCA
rnacentral:tRNA from 1 species